rnacentral:lncRNA from 1 species
GUGGCUUGGCUGGGUUGCAGGAAGCAACCAUUCCACAAGCAUGCCAUAUCCCCUUUUGGGUGGGAAUACUAUCUACGAAACGACGCUUUGAACAGGUUUAGCAUGGGAGCAUGAAAGAUGAGGGAAGAGUGGCAGAGUGAUGGCAGUCGCCUUUGCAAAAAGAGCAAAAAAAAAAAGAAAAAAAAAUGCAUCUUCAAGUUAUGAGAGGUUAGCCUAAGUAUUAAAAGAGAACACUACUCUCAACUUCACCAUUGGACUCUCUACUCAACACAAUCCACUUCCUCCAUUCACAUACACAAAAAUAAAAAAACCCAUCACAGACCUUGACCAGGAUUCAC